CAAAAACAUUUCCUCUUAGUAUAAGAGGUAAAGCCUGCUCACUGAAAUUUUAAAGAGCCGCAGUAUUUUGACUGUGCUAAGGUAGCAUAAUCAUUAGUCUUUUAAUUGAGGACUGGUAUGAAUGGCUAAACGAGAAAUCCACUUUUUUUGUUAUAAACAAUAGAAUUUAUUUUCUCAGUGAAAAAACUGAGAUUAUCCUGAAAGACGAGAAGACCCUAUAGAGUUUUAUAUAGUAAAUUUCUACGUCAUAUUAGGUUUUUGUUGAUGUAGUUUGGUGCUGUAAUUUGUUGGGGCGACAUUAAGAUAAAAAAAACUCUUCUUUUUUUAAACUUUUAUGAAGGUGUAGUUUGAUCCUUUAAAAAAGACAAUAAGAAAAAAUUACCUUAGGGAUAACAGCGUAAUCUUUUUUGAGAGUUCUAAUCGACAAAAAGGUUUGCGACCUCGAUGUUGGACUAAAAUUUAGGUGUGGUGCAGUAGCUUCACUUUUAGGUCUGUUCGACCUAUAAUAUUUUACAUGAUCUGAGU
rnacentral:rRNA from 1 species